rnacentral:rRNA from 1 species
AUUGAACGCUGGCGGCAUGCCUUACACAUGCAAGUCGAACGGUAACGGGUCCUUCGGGAUGCCGACGAGUGGCGAACGGGUGAGUAAUAUAUCGGAACGUGCCCAGUAGUGGGGGAUAACUGCUCGAAAGAGCAGCUAAUACCGCAUACGACCUGAGGGUGAAAGGGGGGGAUCGCAAGACCUCUCGCUAUUGGAGCGGCCGAUAUCAGAUUAGCUAGUUGGUGGGGUAAAGGCCUACCAAGGCAACGAUCUGUAGUUGGUCUGGGAGGACGACCGGCCACACUGGGACUGAGACACGGCCCAGACUCCUACGGGAGGCAGCAGUGGGGAUUUUUGGACAAUGGGCGCAAGCCUGAUCCAGCGAUGCCGCGUGCAGGAAGAAGGCCUUCGGGUUGUAACCUGCUUUUGUCAGGGAAGAAAUCUUCUGGGCUAAUACCCCGGGAGGAUGACGGUACCUGAAGAAUAAGCACCGGCUAACUACGUGCCAGCCGCCGCCGUAA